GUGGGGAAUAUUGGGCAAUGGGCGAAAGCCUGACCCAGCAACGCCGCGUGAAGGAAGAAGGUCUUCGGAUCGUAAACUUCUAUCCUUGGUGAAGAUAAUGACGGUAGCCGAGAAGGAAGCCCCGGCUAACUACGUGCCAGCAGCCGCGGUAAUACGUAGGGGGCAAGCGUUGUCCGGAAUGAUUGGGCGUAAAGGGCGCGUAGGCGGCCUGGUAAGUCUGGAGUGAAAGUCCUGCUUUUAAGGUGGGGAUUGCUUUGGAUAUUGUCGGGCUUGAGUGCAGGAGAGGUAAGUGGAAUUCCCGGUGUAGCGGUGAAAUGCGUAGAGAUCGGGAGGAACACCAGUGGCGAAGGCGACUUACUGGACUGUAACUGACGCUGAGGCGCGAAAGUGUGGGGAGCAAACAGGAUUAGAAACCCGAGUAGUCC
rnacentral:rRNA from 1 species